AGCUUUGAGCAAUGUCAAUAUCGCAACCAAUGAGGUAAUUCCGAGAUGCGAUUAUUGCUAAUUGAAAAAAUCAUAUUUAACCCAUUUUAGGCCAAGCGUUCGAAAAAUCGAACAGUAACUUUAAUAAUUUUUCAUGUCUUUGAAAAG